AUGAACUCAGGAAGAUUAUAGUUUUGUGAUUCUUGUUGAAAAUAUUGUUGGUUCUCUAAUGUUUGCUCUUCCAGAUUAAGGACACUUUCUCUCAAGAUAUCUAUGAUAUACAGAAAUGUCAUAUUCAUUUGCAAACUGAAACAUUUAUCUUUUUUCUCUACAUAACUCCCCUGAAAUUCAAAAACUCUCAGUGAGUAUUCUUUCUUUCAUGGCAAUUACAGUUUGCAUAAGUUCAGUAAGAAUCUGUUCAUCUUGUAACAGGUCACCAUUGGAAAUACUGGUUAUUUUACCAAGGCUUUGACUGGAAUGUCAUAUUUGAGAGUGACAUUCAUAGACUCAGAUAUCACCAGAGAGCUUUAAGGAACUAAGGUUGGCUUUAUGAAACAUAGAGCCAUAAAGUCCCUUGGAAAUGUUGGCCUGAUACCUUGCUUACAGAGUUCCCAGCAGCCUCACCAGCUGAGUAAAGAAGAUCACUUCCUGGCAGGUGCAGGACCCUCAGGAUAUCUUGGGGACCUCAUGAAGAGGAAUUAGCCCUAUUCUACAGAGACCUCUUCCGGGUUCUUCUUGCCCUGUUUGCCGUGUACGUGAAACCCCACCACAGAUAUGGAAGCUGAAAACUAUAAAUUACCCUGACCCCCCUUCAUUCGGGGCUCAGAUCUUUGGAGAAGUGGUCUCCUCUGAACCCGCCGGCGUUAAAUAAAUCUCUGAUUCACCAAGAU